rnacentral:rRNA from 1 species
ACGAAAGUCUGAUGGAGCAAUACCACGUGAACGAUGAAGGUCUUCUGAUUGUAAAGUUCUUUUAUUUAGGAAAAAAAGCGCGCUAGGAAAUGAGCGCGCGGAAGAUUGUACUAAAUGAAUAAGUGACAGCUAACUAUGCGCCAGCAGCUGCGGUAAAGCAUAGGUCUCGAUUAAUUAUCCGGAUUUAUUGGGCGU